CAGGUGGCCAAGAGUGUCGGCCAAGGCCUCUGCUGGGAGCUUGGCCCCUGCCCCCUCCCCAUCUGGCCAGUCCCUUCACUGGCUCCUCAGUGACGCAGGGGCCCCAGGACCUGCCAAUGCCGAGUACAGAGGAGCCACCUUGCACCUGGCGUCCAGUCUAGAACCUGGGUGAGGGGACCAGACCUGCAGAGCCACCCCUGCCCCAGGCUGCAGAGGGAGGGGGCGUCACUGGUCCCCACUCCCAAGACUGUCCCUGGCCAGUGUGACCCCCCCCAGUCUCUGCCCAGGCCCAGCCUGUCUGAAGCUGGGACAGCCCUGAGCUGGGCUGGGAUGCUGGGCUCUCGCUGCAGCUGGGGGACCAAGGCCCAUGGCAAGGUUGGGGCUCAGUGGAUGGGCCACUUGAGUCAGCCCUUUGGCUCUGCCUCACAUAGUCCCAAGACCGUCACUGAGGCAACCAGUGGUGACAAUGACUGUCCAUCAUGUCACACACCCCAUGGGUGUGGUCACCCUAUGGUCACUCAGUGCCGCCACAGGCCCUGUCCCCAUCCUAUGUGAUGUUCCCCCAUCCCUGUGACCCCAUGUCCCGGUGUCCCUGUCCCUGUGUCACUAUGUCCCCAUGUUCCUCUGUCCCUGUCCCCAUGGACCUGUGUCCCCGUCCCUGUGUCUCCUUCCCUGUGUCCCAGUGUCCCCCAUGUCCCCGUGUCCCUGUCCCUUUGUACCUACCCUCGUAUCCCCUUCCCUGUGUCUCCACGUCCCCAUAUCCACAUCCCUGUGUCCCCAUGUCCCUGUGUCCCCGUCCCCGUGUCCCCAUCUCCAUGUCCCCAUUCCUGUGUCCCCGUCCUCAUGUCCCCAUGUUCCCAUGUCCUUGUCCCUGUGUCCCCAUGUCCCCAUCCUCAUGUCUCUGUGUCUCCAGGUUCCAGUGUCCCCGUGUCCCUUUGUCUCUGUUCCUGUGUCCCCGUACCACCCAGGGCUGCCUGUGUUAAGUAGAGAGCUGCCCUCUGAGGGCCCCCAUGGCCUCUGCAGGGUGGGGGCCGGGACCAGAGACAGGACUUGCAGCCCCUUUUCCCCGGAUGGCAGUCUGAUCCCGUCCCUGUCCCCUCAGCUCAGGAGCCUGACCCCAAGCCUCUACCGCAGACCCACCGUGUUACCCCCUCCAGAGACCCUGCAGGCGGCUCCUCCAUGCCUGGGUGGCAUCAGAAAGGCCCAGAGGUGCAUUUUCAUCUCCUCUCGGACUGCCCUGCCACACCUGGUGGCCCUAAGUGUGCAGCCGCUGCUAACCUGGUCCGCCCACUCUAGAGACCUCAUGGAUGUGCCUGUUUUGACAGGCUCGUUUCACUUCGCACAAUGUCCUCAGGCCAUCCACGUCAUGGCAGGUAUCUGGACGUCGUAACAUCCCAUUGCAUAUAGAUACCAUGUUUUCCUUAUGCAUUCACCCAUCGGUGGACAUUUGGGUAGUUUCUGCCUGUUGUCUGUGGUGAAUCACUGCACGAGGACGUGAGUGGGCUGGCUUCACAUGGCCCGACGCUCACGUUCGCAGCAGUGAACUGGGCUCAGUGAUCUGGGAAUGGGUCCCCUGCUGGCUGCGGGGGGCCAGGCCCAGAAACAUGCAAACGAACUGCAGGGGAGAGGACUGGAACCCCCACCAAAACACUGCAGCAAAGGGAAAAUGCUGGAGUGCCCCACACUCAUGUUCAGGGGGCGAGGGUGCGUGUCACAGGCCCGACGGGAGCACGAAAGGGUUAGAACCACAUCCCGAGAACACAGCCCUGAGAACACAGCUGCAGGCCUGUCCCCGGCCGCCCGGCUCAUCCUCAGCACUUAUGGCAAAGGCGCCACACUCGGCGACAACACGGACACAGCGCUCAUCCUCGACCUCUCAGCUAGUCCUCUACGGUGGGUGUGCCCAGGGACACCACCCCCGAGGACAGGAAGGAGGGCGACCCGUGAGGUGCAGUCUCUGCUUUUCAACAUCCACCUAAGCCGCGAACACAUGCUCCUUGGACAGAUUUGAACGACUCAAGGGGGUAUCAAGAGAUUCCAGUCCGGCCAAAACAAAGCACCGUCGCAGAAACAUCUUGGGGACCAGCGCCGAGUGGGAGACGUGUCCAGGGGACAAGUGGAAGGGCCUCACCCCCAAUUCUUGCACCAAAGGGAUGGGGACGUUCACCCCUAACGGUGCAGGCCCUCCCUGGACUCCAGACGGGACCGUGGAUGUCACGAGCAUGGGCCCGCGACUUUCUCGGGGGACAUGCGGCAUUCUGCUUUCCCACGGUUAUGAGUCCGUGUGUCAGAGCGGCCGAAAGAAGCCAAGGGAACGCAAGUCGGCUUUACGAAGGGGAAAUUCACUCUCUUGCACACAGACCCUGGAGAGGCAGCGGGGCGGCCUUCCUUCUCCCCGGGGCGGCCCCGCAGGGUGUGAGGCCAGCACUGGCUCAGCAUCCUCUCCAGCAGCGGCGCCCACCCCCACACCUGAGGAGCGACACCGGACGUCCCUAGGCGCAGAGCACCCCGGUCUCAGAGACCAUCUCCCGGGAAGCUCUCUGCAGAGGGCAUGCUUCCUGGUCCCCUGCGGGCCUCCUAACUGCCCUCUAUUCUCCAGGGCCCCUCGCCUCCUUCCCACCCCAACUAGGACUAGGCCUGGCUCCUCCUCCUCCCUCUCCAGAAGACACCCGGUCCCUGGGGGCUCACACACCUGACUCUGACCUUGACACCACCACCCACGUCUCCUGAGGCCCCAGGCACCUCACAUAGGUGGGGCAGGUCCAGAAAGGAGCGCCUGAUGUUCCCAACCCGGCUCCUCUCAGCCUCCAUUGGCCCCUCCCCCAGGGGCGCUCCCUCCCCUCACAGACCCAGUCCUGCCCAGACUUCUCCAAGUGCAGGCUCUCCCAGUCCAGACAGCUGGGCUCUGCCGCCUCCUGCCGUCCACUCCUGACUCUGCCGCCGUGUCCACCCGGCGCCCAGAGCGUCUUCACAGUGAAAUUCGGACAUCCUGCCCCCGCCGACGGAGCCUCCAGGGCUGCCUGCGCUGCCCCCUGCUCCCUUCCCCGUGCAGGCCCUUGUGGGACCCCAGCUCCCCACCCUCAGCCUUCAGACUGCAGUUCAGUGUCCCGCCCUGACCGAAGGGCCGGGCCCAGGGUCUCUCUCAGGGUGUCGGCUCUUCUCCUUGUAGGACACACACGCGGCCACCUGCCUGCUCCUGUUUGUUCCUGGCGUCUCACCUGCCUCUCCCUCCCGCCAGCCUGCAGCUCUGCGAAAGAAGGGACAGGUCUGUUUCGUUCUUUACCACCUAAACAGCAGGUGUGCAAUGAAGAACGAAGAGAAGAAUAUCCCUCCCUCCUUCCCCACGCCCCGUCCACCCAGCCCAGAACAAGUGAGGUCGAGGUCAGCACACCAGGCACCCGGUAAGAAAAAGAAGUCUCCCCAACCUGUUUGAGUACUACGUCCUGUUCCGAUGCUUCCGGAACGGACCCCGGAUACAAAUGCACCUACAGCUCACUGGGGGUACCUGAGGUAGCACUCCCGGGACGUUUUCUGGGUUAGCCUCUGCCUUCUGGGGAGCUGGCAGGACGGGUGGGUUUGCCGGCCUCAUCCUCUGCUCGUCCGCCGACCUGCCGUUCGGAGCUGAACAGAGAACACGUGUCACCUCACUUGUGCCACAAGGCUUUCAGGAGACUCCAAGCGCUUCACAGACCACAGCCAGACAUCAAAGGACACCAGGACACCUCGGGAAAGCCACUGACCUGAGUUCAAGAACGGCCAAAGAGAAUCGACCCUUUCUCGAAGCGCUUGGCAGCUUCUGUCCUUAUCCCCAACCCACAACCCCAAGUAUUUCCCACCCAGGAAGUACAAAUGGUGGCCGACAGGCAGAUUACUUGGCGACCUGCAGCGGCUCGUUAGCUUCCCUCCUAAAAUGAGCGACCUGAGAAGAAUUCAGGAGGACUCUGCGUCCUCUCUGGGACUCUGCCCGGUCGCGGCCCCACACGGCCACGUGUGUUGACGUUCACGGGAGGCACGGAGAGGAAGUGCGCCACCUCGGGAUGGAGGACAGCGAGGCCAGCCCUCCACCACUCAGGAGGCCGUCACGUCGUCACACGGACGUCGUGGUCUAGCAAGGUGGCUAAAAACGCCUCUUCUGCCCUGGAUUUCCGGCCAGAUCGUUGCCCUUCAUGUCCCCUGGAGCUGUGAGGUCCACGGCAAGACCGUUCUGCCCAGUGUCAUCUAGGCGCUCACGGAGCUGAUACCUUUCCACUGGUCCGCCACGCUGAUGUAGGACAGGAGUCCACCAAGCCCCAGAAACGCCAGCACCAGGAGAAUCACGUUCCGCUGUAACCGCGACAGCUGCUUCCAUUUCUGAGGGAGGGACGGAGUGACUCUGUUUACUGGAAAGAACAGGCCUGGAAAUCGCUUCCACUGUAACAAACUCGGUGAGGACGAUGCGUAAUUCAGAAGGUCCUGUGUGGAGGCCUGCUGCUUCGCACUGGGGCAAGUUCCCUGUCCCUGGGGGUGACAGGCUGGGCCCAGGCCCCACGUGACUAGCUAUUGCACCGGUACACGUGAGAGGAGAAUGGAUACAGACAGGGACACCACUUCUGUCCAGUCCAUGGGCGGCGGAGAGAGAGCCCGCCAUUCGUGUGUUGGGGCUCAGGCCCCGGCUGGGUGUGGCGUCUGCGGCCCGAGAGCAGCAGGAACCUACCGGCGGUUAAACCGGCGGAGCUGAGAUCAUGGCAGCCGUGGAGAACUCACAGCCGGGAACCUCUUGUGUCUUAAUACAGGGUCUUAGGAAGCAACUUUCUCGCAUUUUCUUUCUCAGUCCCCCUUGUGACCAAGGUCAGAUGAAGUCAGGCCACAGGACUUGACCUCUUAUCAAAAUUUCGCCAGUGCUGGGAUUUUGUGGGUUAAACUGAAGGUGUGUGCGGUUGAGUCAGGGUGCAUCUUCCUUCUUCUUCCUCUGGAGGAGGAGCCAGUGACCUGCUUGUCCCAACAGUGGCCAGGCAGCACUGACAGGCAGGACAUCGACUAACUGUAACACAGGCAACGCAGAGAGAAACUGAUGGCUGCCCCCUGAUGGCAAUAGGUCUUGAAGCCCAGAACGUAGAUCUGAGAUCAGGCCGUGACAUUCAUUCCCAGGAGCUAGAAUUAGGUAGCUUCGUCCUCACUGCACCCCUUUUUGAGCCUGGUCACAGAUCGUUAUUUUCUCUGUAGCGUUUGCACAGGUUUAACAAGAAAUUUCUAUGAUGGCCAACAUGUGUCCUUGGUCAGCGAAGAAGAAAUCAAGGACUGUGGAGUUUUCCGUGACAGCUCUGGCUCAUGGAUUCAGACUGCUUUAUCGGGCUUUUAGAGCAGUGGCGCCGUUGGUGACUGCUAGGGUCAGAGACAAUUCGGAAUCCCGUUCUCCAGUUGCGUUGUUCCCGCUGUGGAACCUGUAGCUCAAAGUGUGGGUGAAGAGGGAACCAGUUGUCCUAGCUGGAAGUUUUCUUAGUAACCUAUACUUGUGUGAUUUUGGAAAUUUCUGACUAUUCUUUUUAAGGAAGUGUGAUUUCUUGGAGGGAUAGGAAUUUUAAAACUAUGGAAAUCUCUAGCAAUUAUUCUGAAUACACGGCCGUCACUCUGCAGCAGGUCUCACCCUGCUGCCCGUGUAAGGAGUAGCCUAGUGGAACACAGAGUGCAUUUGAAGAAGUAUCACUUACUGUAAUAGCAAUGAGUACAUUUGGUGCCCCUCGAUAUGUACAAGUUCCUUGAGUGAGAUGAACCACUUACUGCAAAACAGUGUGAGAACAAACCGACUAUGGUCACUGUCCCCAGGGCACUCCUGACCCACUAGGUCUUGUAACAGGACCACACUGACCUCAGUGGACACAUUUUGUUGAAAUGAGGUCAAGGUCCAAUUUCUGUGUUUGAAAUUUGGGACCAUCAACAAUGUGAAGAAAACUUAAGUAGCAGAAAGGGCC
ensembl:lncRNA